rnacentral:rRNA from 1 species
AGUGAACGCUGGCGGUAGGCCUAACACAUGCCAGUCGAACGGCAGCACAGUAAGAGCUUGCUCUUACGGGUGGCGAGUGGCGGACGGGUGAGGAAUACAUCGGAAUCUACUUUUUCGUGGGGGAUAACGUAGGGAAACUUACGCUAAUACCGCAUACGACCUACGGGUGAAAGCAGGGGAUCUUCGGACCUUGCGCGAUUGAAUGAGCCGAUGUCGGAUUAGCUAGUUGGCGGGGUAAAGGCCCACCAAGGCGACGAUCCGUAGCUGGUCUGAGAGGAUGAUCAGCCACACUGGAACGGAGACACGGUCCAGAGUCCUACGGGAGGCAGCAGUGGGGAAUAUUGGACAAUGGGCGCAAGCCUGAUCCAGCCAUACCGCGUGGGUGAAGAAGGCCUUCGGGUUGUAAAGCCCUUUUGUUGGGAAAGAAAAGCAGCAGGUUAAUACCCCGCUGUUCUGACGGUACCCAAAGAAUAAGCACCGGCUAACUUCGUG